GCCAGGUGCGGUGGUGUGUGCCUGUAGUCCCAGCUACUCGGGAGGCUGCGGUGGGAGGAUCGCUUGAGCCCAGGAGUUCUGGGCUGCAGUGUGCUAUGCAGAUCGGGUGUCCACACUAAGUUCGGCAUCAAUAUGGUGACCUCCCAGGAGCGGGGGACCACCAGGUUGCCUAAGGAGGGGUGAAUUGGCCCAGGUCGGAAAGGGGCAGGUCAAAACUCCCAUGCUGAUCAGUAGUGGGAUCACACUUGUGAAUAACCACUGCAUUCCAGCCUGGGCAACAUAGCAAGACCCCAUCUAU
rnacentral:SRP_RNA from 1 species